CACAGGUGGUAGCACUUAGUAAAAGAAGCAAAGAGGCGGAGUCUGCCUUUCUUGGAGUUUACAAGCAGUUAAUUGAAGCGCCAGAUCCCGCACCAGUGCUAGAGGCGGCCCACAGUCUGGAUGAGCGGCUGCAGCAGCUACAGGGGGGGCAGCCUGAGAGCUGCUCAGUCAAGGAGCUCAGCCAACAGUGGAGCAAACACCUGGAGAGACUCGGAAGCCCAGAAGAGUCUGACGAUUCCACCAUCACCGGAUUGCACACC